UACGUAGGGGCCUAGCGUUGUCCGGAAUCAUUGGGCGUAAAGAGCUCGUAGGCGGUUCGGCAAGUCACGUGUGAAAUCUCCACGCUUAACGUGGAGGCGCCACGUGAAACUGCCGUGACUCGAGUCCGGUAGGGGAGUGUGGAAUUCCCGGUGUAGCGGUGAAAUGCGCAGAUAUCAGGAGGAACACCGGUGGCGAAGGCGGGUCUCUGGGCCGAUACUGACGCUGAGGAGCGAAAGCGUGGGGAGCAAACAGG
rnacentral:rRNA from 1 species